AGAAAAUCAAUGAAGAGAAGAGUACUCUAACUGAUUUCUAAAGCGAGCAGGGGAGGGUGUAAGCCCUGUGAAUAGGUUAGUUUGGAAGAGAGCCUCUGAGAUGCCAUCUGAAUUGAGUAAGACUGGCCGCAGAAUACUGCGUUAAAAAGUUGAGUGGCAAUUUUAUUGCAACUAGAGUGGUACCGCGGAUAUUUCCGUCUCUUGU
rnacentral:ncRNA from 1 species